rnacentral:rRNA from 1 species
UCCUUUUGUUUUUAUUUAAGGUCUGACCUGCCCAAUGAUUUUUAAAUGGCCGCGGUAUUCUGACCGUGCAAAGGUAGCAUAAUAAUUUGUUCUUUAAUUGGGAACUAGUAUGAAUGGUCCUACGAAAGGUCAUCUUUCUUUAUUUUAUUAUAAUGAAUUUUAUUUUUGUGUGAGAAAGCAUAAAUGAUGUUAUUAGACGAUAAGACCCUAUAAAACUUUAUUUUCUUUUAGUCUUUUGUUAUUAGUAGAUUCUGAUUUGGGGCUAAAGGUAUAAUUUUACUGGGGCGGUAAGUAAAUUUAUUUAACUUUACUUUUAUUUUUCAUUAAUUAGUGUUAAUAUUGAUCCAAUAUUAUUGAUUAAAAGAUCAAGUUACUUUAGGGAUAACAGCGUAAUUCUAUUGGAGAGUUCUUAUCGAUGAUAGGGUUUGCGACCUCGAUGUUGGAUUAAAAUAAGUGUUAAGUGUAGCAGUUUAAUAACUAGGUCUGUUCGACCUUUAAUUUUUUACGUGAUCU